rnacentral:rRNA from 1 species
AGGGAAAGGCCUCUUUGAGCCCUUAGAUGGGCACCGUGCCCCAUCAGGUAGUGUUGUGGUAACGGCCCACCUAACCUAUGAUAGGUGCGGGCGGUGGGAGCCGGAGCCCGGAGAUGUGCACCUGACACGGGCCUCAGGCCUUCGGGGGGCAGCAAGGGCGGAAAUUCUCCCAAUCGCGGAAGGGGGGGGGAGGGAGCCCCACGCGCCUCCGCUGAAACUGGCUGUUUCCGGAUAUAAAGACCCUCCGGGAAUAAGGGCUGGGCAAGGCCGGUGGCAGCCGCCGCGGUGAUACCAGGGGCCCGAGAGUCCCCUCUAUUAUUGGGCCUAAAGCGUCCGUAGCCGGGCCCGUAAGUCCCCGGUGAAAUCCCCCGGCUCAACGGUGGGGUUUGGGGGGGAUUCUGGGGGCCGGGGGCGGGGGGGGCCCCGGGGGUUCCCGGGGAGAGGGGGUGAAUCUUAAAUCCCCAGGGGCCCCCCAGUGGGGAAGGCUCCCGGCUGACGCGUCCCCGACGGUGAGGAGGAAGCCCAGGGGCAAAAACCGGUUUAUACCCCCGUGUACUCAUCGCUAAAAAGGAUCGGGUUAUGUCGGGCCGAGCUUCGACCUCGCCCAGUGCCGCAGAGCUUUCUUUAACCCGCCCCCUGGG